rnacentral:rRNA from 1 species
AUUGAACGCUGGCGGAAUGCUUUACACAUGCAAGUCGAACGGCAGCACGGGGCAACCUGGUGGCGAGUGGCGAACGGGUGAGUAAUACAUCGGAACGUGCCCAAUCGUGGGGGAUAACGUAGCGAAAGUUACGCUAAUACCGCAUACGAUCUACGGAUGAAAGCGGGGGAUCGCAAGACCUCGCGCGAAUGGAGCGGCCGAUGUCAGAUUAGGUAGUUGGUGGGGUAAAGGCUCACCAAGCCAACGAUCUGUAGCUGGUCUGAGAGGACGACCAGCCACACUGGGACUGAGAGACGGCCCAGACUCCUACGGGAGGCAGCAGUGGGGAAUUUUGGACAAUGGGCGCAAGCCUGAUCCAUCCAUUCCGCGUGCAGGAUGAAGGCCUUCGGGUUGUAAACUGCUUUUGUACGGAACGAAACGGCUCUCUCUAAUACAGGGGGCUAAUGACGGUACCGUAAGAAUAAGCACCGGCUAACUACGUGCCAGCAGCCGCCGCAGUAA